rfam:Aedes albopictus isolate Foshan contig35353, whole genome shotgun sequence.
UGCUCUAUGGCUUAGUUGGCUAAAGCACCGUUCUAGCGAAUACGGAGUCGUGGGUUCGAAUCCCACCAGAAUGC